rnacentral:lncRNA from 1 species
UUUAGGUCGCUUAGCCUUUUUCUUUAAUCGUUUAAUAUAUAAUUAUAUGACUUCUGCACCGUUAAGUCGAAAAUUAUGUUGAGAAUCAUUUAUCCACCGAUUGCAAAGAAAGUAUUGAUAAUUACACGACUAAACGUUUCAUUUAUCAGAAUCAAUGAACCCCAUUUUUGAUGCGGCGAUGUUUCAUUCGGACGUUUCUCGUUUGUGUCGAACAUAAUUACGACGGCUCCAGGAUGAAGCCACCUGCCGUUUAUCCUUAAUUUUGGGAGAGCCCACGGAGAAACCAAGAUUCCGAAGAAAAAGUCUUAUUAUCGUUUGAAUGGAACUUUUACUUCGAUCGAAAUCAUCAGGAAAUGUGAAUGUUCACCGGAGAGAAAGAUGAAAAAACGUUAACAAUGACGUUGUCUGAACGAGGGAACCGUGCAAGAAGUUUCGUAACGAUAUCGAGGUCGUUGCUCGUUUUAAGGCCGCCGUAAGACACAUGCGAAAACAUGCGAAUCGUUACACGUAGACUAUAGACGGUCACCUGGCCCGGUUAAUCCGGGGACCAGAAUGAGAAUACUUGAUUCCUGUAAUCGGCGUUCGUACUUGUAGUACGUUAACGGAUUAGAAAGUUAGGCUUUGACAAUUACUGCUGUCAAUUUAGAAUUAUGGUUUGACAUCAACUUAGGAAAAACGCGUGAUUUAUGGGAAAAUAUAGUAUAUGUCGAUUCUUGUCAUGUACAGGUGGGUGCUUAACGAGAAUUAAAAACUUAUGAACGAUAGUGUACGUAUACUUCUUUCUCAUACAAAUAAGAGCACGUGUUAGCUAGGAGAAUUUUUAUUCUGCUCAAUAAUGUACACUUUCCUAGAUUCGACGAAAUCGCUCUCGGUGCUCCAGUUUCGGACGUCUAACGUUCAAACGAGGACUAAGAAACACGGUGCACCGGUUGUUACGCACGAAAGUGUGGCACUGGCCCGGGGGAAGAGAGGACGAAUGUAUACCGGGGCCACUUGUUCUUCACAGCGGUGCAGGUGUAGCUGCUGCCAAACCAUCGGUGCUGUUGCUGCUCCUGCUCCUGCUGCUGCUGCUGCUGCCGAUGCUGAUGUUGAUGGUGGUGUAACCGCCGAAGGCCGGGAGGGAUCGUUCAUCAACAUCAACUGUCAAGAGUAUCUUGUUCAGGCCACAAAAUGUGCACGUGUACGCAUGUAUCUGCCUUUUCUCGUCUGGGAUUCACCAUUAACCCACUUGCGCGCUUUAACGUGGUUACCUCGCCUAAGAUAGUGGCAUCUGUAUACCCUAUUUAACCGCUCAUUGUUUUAGUGGAGAAACAGGCGUGUUGUAAUAUCGAAACGAAUCGUUAAUUAACACGUUCGCUACUAGCGGUUGUCCGGAAAAUUAUAUAUUGCAGAUCGUGCACUAUUUUUAGUAAUUUACCGCUAAGGAAACUUUAGCUUGCUUGUAACGUUUAACGUAUUGCCGACAGCGUGGUCAUGUUUAACUAUACACGUGGUAAAGUUCAUAAAUUUAACAUAUUCAUUGUGCAAUGCUUUCUCGAAUGUGAGAGAAAUUUCAAUAAGAGUUAAGCACAACAAUAUGUGAAACAUGAUAACUGUACAAAUGGCAUCGUCAGAUGGAGAACACCCCCUUGUGGUGAAGAUGAAUCUAGUUCUCGACAUGUUCUAUAAAUAACGAGAUUUGAACGCGCCAAUGCCUAUGAGAAAGUUCACUAAUUUGGUUCUUUUGCUCUAGUACCUAAUUGAGUUUUCAUCCUUGUUUUGUGCGACGAGAAACGCUUGUCUAAUGAAUUGCUAUAGAAGUACGAGCCCUCGUAAAGAAGCAUAGGUAUUUGGACGUUUCCUCUUUGUGACCACUGUGACUCCGUUUGCACGUGAAAUUAGCGGUUAGAACGUAAGUAGGAAAGGAG